rnacentral:lncRNA from 1 species
UCGCUUUUAUCAAUACAUAAAAAUGAUAUUAUGACCAUAUCUAAAUCCUUUAUAAAAUAUAAUUUUUUAAAUACAAACUUAUUAAUAUUACAAUUGUAUAUAUGUAAUCAUACCGAAUACACACAUUUACAAAACAUUAACACAUUAUAUCAUUUAUCCACUUUGUGCGGGCAUUAUAAAUUUAUAAAUGAAAGUUAUUCAUUUGCUUCCUUUUCGAACUUAUUAAAAAAAGAUAUAUUUUUAAAUAACGACAGUAAUGACAAUAAUGAAAACAAUAAUAUUAUGCUUUUUUUAAAGACGUAUUAUAUUAUUUGUAAAACAUAUGAUCACCUGUUUGAUUUAAAUCUUUACAAUUUUAUUUUAAAUAAUUAUAAAUACAAAUCAGACAAAACAGGAAAAUCAGACAAAACAGACAAAACAGACAAAACAGACAAAAUAAACGGACAUGAACAAUAUGUAUCGUCAGAAGAGGUACAGUCAGGUUAUAUCUUACCAAACGAAAAAAAAAGGAAACUAGCUUUUAAAAAAAAUGUCAUAAAAGAUGGAACACGCACUGAACCAUGUAACGAUGAACAAAAGAGUGUCAAUAGUGUCAAUAGUGAUAAUAGUUCCACUAAGAGAAAAUACAACAGCAGUAACAUAAAUAAUGACACUUUUCCAUCAAUAAAUAUUUUCCCAUUUAAUAACAAUACCGAAAUAAAUUUAAAAAAACAUAAUAUAAAUNNNNNNNNNNACAACGACAAUAUAGACAGAUCGCUUUUAUCAAUACAUAAAAAUGAUAUUAUGACCAUAUCUAAAUCCUUUAUAAAAUAUAAUUUUUUAAAUACAAACUUAUUAAUAUUACAAUUGUAUAUAUGUAAUCAUACCGAAUACACACAUUUACAAAACAUUAACACAUUAUAUCAUUUAUCCACUUUGUGCGGGCAUUAUAAAUUUAUAAAUGAAAGUUAUUCAUUUGCUUCCUUUUCGAACUUAUUAAAAAAAGAUAUAUUUUUAAAUAACGACAGUAAUGACAAUAAUGAAAACAAUAAUAUUAUGCUUUUUUUAAAGACGUAUUAUAUUAUUUGUAAAACAUAUGAUCACCUGUUUGAUUUAAAUCUUUACAAUUUUAUUUUAAAUAAUUAUAAAUACAAAUCAGACAAAACAGGAAAAUCAGACAAAACAGACAAAACAGACAAAACAGACAAAAUAAACGGACAUGAACAAUAUGUAUCGUCAGAAGAGGUACAGUCAGGUUAUAUCUUACCAAACGAAAAAAAAAGGAAACUAGCUUUUAAAAAAAAUGUCAUAAAAGAUGGAACACGCACUGAACCAUGUAACGAUGAACAAAAGAGUGUCAAUAGUGUCAAUAGUGAUAAUAGUUCCACUAAGAGAAAAUACAACAGCAGUAACAUAAAUAAUGACACUUUUCCAUCAAUAAAUAUUUUCCCAUUUAAUAACAAUACCGAAAUAAAUU